rnacentral:rRNA from 1 species
CCUACGGGGGGCAGCAGUGAGGGAUAUUGGUCAAUGGACGAGAGUCUGAACCAGCCACGUAGCGUGAAGGAUGACUGCCCUAUGUGUUGUAAACUUCUUUUAUAUGGGAAUAAAACGUUCCACGUGUGGGAUUUUGUAUGUACCAUAUGAAUAAGGAUCGGCUAACUCCGUGCCAGCAGCCGCGGUAAUACGGCGGAUCCGAGCGUUAUCCGGAUUUAUUGGGUUUAAAGGGAGAGUAGGUGGAUUGGUAAGUCAGUUGUGAAAGUUUGCGGCUCAACCGUAAAAUUGCAGUUGAAACUGGCAGUCUUGAGUACAGUAGAGGUGGGCGGAAGUCGUGGUGUAGCGGUGAAAUGCUUAGAUAUCACGAAGAACUCCGAUUGCGAAGGCAGUUCACUGGACUGCAACUGACACUGAGGCUCGAAAGUGUGGGUAUCAAACAGGAUUAGAUACCCGUGUAGUC